CUCACAGAGAUCCACCCGCCUCUGCUUCCCAAGCGCUGGGAUUAAAGGCGUACGCCACCACCGCCCGUCUGGCUUCUGUUUUAAAGUUGAUUUGUUUUCACGGCCUGUCACUGACUGCCAUGGGGGUGAUGCUUCUUAGUUUUCCAUUGCCGUAUCUUGAAUGUACACAGACCUAUCAGCUUAAAAAUACCAACGCUCGGUCCUGCAUCUGCGAAGGAAGGAGAAAGAAGCCCUGCGAGGUCAGGACUGGAUGCUUGCCCUCUCCCGAGUCUGGCAGUUGUCAGGGUGAGGAGGCCUCUUCCAAGUUCAGGAGCUGUGGACACAGCGCGCUUCCUUCUUUAGAGUCCUGCAUCUCAAAGGCCAGUCAUGGUGCCUGGAAUCUCCUGGUGCUUUUGAUCUGCCUUUCAUCUUGGCUUCCAGGGGCUCCUGUGGAGACUUCGUGACCUCCCUGUUUUCAGGUGAGCUGGCUAGGAGAUGAGCUUCAUCUGCAAAGCCUUCUUUGCCAAGUAAGAGGCAAGGUCGUUACCAAAAGAGUAACAUUGAUGGUAGAAGCCUUGGGGCCAAAACUCGGCCUGCCACAGUCUCCAGACUUCCCGGAGUGGUUAUAAGGAGGCAGACCCUGCCUGCCCUGCCUCUACCCUCGAAAAAGCAGAUUCAGCCAGACCAGUGUGCCCGGCAGGGUCUCUUGAUGACAAGCCACAGCGCCACCUAGUGGCUAACAGCAGGUUCGACUUUACAACACACAAUUCUCUCCAAACAGCGCCUGGAGAGGCCCAGACUCAGCUGGGACGUCACAUCACCUGUGGCAUCUUAAGUCUGUUCUAAUGAAAACCCAGCGUCUACCACAGCCCUCAUGUCUUGGUGAGACUCCACCACGAGCACCACCAAGGUAGAUGGCCUUUCUCCUGGAUCUGCACCUGGCUGGGCUGCCCAAAUUUGCUGAGAAAGUGGCUUCUGCCCUAGCUGGAGCUUGCGACAUCCCUGGCUUUGCUGCUGAGAGCAGUCACCUGGAGUGGAAUUCCGGAGCGGUACAGGGAAUCCCGCCAGGACCACACCAUCCUGCAGGAAAUACCUUCCUCAUCGUGGACUCAGACAAUCAGGAGAGAGGAAGAGACGGAACGACUCACUUCCCUCUUUUCAAGAAACGAACAGUGUCCUGAGGGGUCCCACAGACUUCGACUUUUAUUCUUUGGACAACAGCCACAUGGUCACACUUGCACCAAACAGACAGCUUUUAUUUUGGCAAUUAUGAAAAAGCAGCUGUAACUUUAGAGCUGGAAGAAAGGAUGGUGGUGACUGAGAACAUGUAGCAUGUCGCCACACUUUUUAUAUAAGAAAAACUGAGGACCCCGAGAGGUCAACAAUCGUCUGGAGGUCAGUCACAUAGCUGGGAAAGGGUGGAACAGGUAGGGCCCCAGAGACACGUCCAGCGGAGUCCUCAGAGGGGAGGACCUCUCUGUACACUCCCCAGCCUUUAGGAGCACCCAGGGCCAUGGCUCAGAUCUCCAGUGCCCUGCAAUGCUAGCCACCUCUCUGGCCCAGGCCCAUCCUGGUGGCACCAGCCAUGCCCGGCACUGACUCCAUCCAUCCCACUAAUGCCCACAUCAGCUGUGCUCACAGCAUUCCUGAGGCGGCCUCCUGAGCACUGAAUAAUUCAGGCCCAUGUAAUGGGAUAAUGAAUUUACUGACAAGCCAGUGUGGUCGCGGUACUUACAGUCUAGAAAUACUGACUCCCCAGGCCCACUAGGCAGGCAGGCAGGCAGGCAGGCUUGUCCUACCAUCAAGAAGCUGGGUGAAAAGCCCCAGCCUUUCCUGGGGAACUCAGCCUGAUGGAGUAAGAAGCCCGCUUGGGUCUCAAUGGUUCUCCCACUUCUGGGGGAAGUGGCUGGGGCCAGGGGCGGCCUGGUGGGACCUUUACCAGGGGAGCAGAACCAGAUAAAACAGCAGAGAUGGGUGGGAACACGCAACCCCCUCCUAGGAGCCCUGGUUCUUUAUGAGGCAACCAAGGUUGAGGCUUUGUAGCCCUGUCACUGUUUUGUGCUGGGAAUUUCGGGGUGACUCCGAACCCUUGGGGUGGAGAGAGACCUGCUUCCUUUCCUGCUAACUUGUUGCUCACCUGCCCCAGCUGCCAUGGUUUGCACGUGUCCCUCUCUGGAGACGAUCGCUUCCACCUGGCGGGCAGGAAGGCGGGCGCCUCUCCUCUCAAUCUGGCUGGGGGGUGACUGAGGACGAGUUGGAAUGCCUGGAUGGAAGCCUCCCCAGCUUGGAGGAGGGAUGAGUACUGUGAGGCUCUGCCACUUCAAGCCCUUCCUCUGGCCCACCCUCCCCUCAGCUUCCACCCUCCCCUCAGCUUCCACCCCCUUCCUCUCCUCUCUGCCUCCUGUCUGGGGCACUGUCUAUGGGAACGGAUAGACGCUCUUCCUGGCCUGAACCCUGCCA